AAAGUUGUUGCGGUUAAAAAGCUCGUAGUCGGAGGUGUGUCUCGGACGGUCGGUUCGCCGCUUGUCGGUGCUCAACUGGCCGGUCCGGACGUCCUGCCGGUGGGGCCUCGCGGCCCCGUCAUCCUUCUUUGGUCCUCUUCACCGAGUGCCUUGGUGGGCCGGCACGUUUACUUUGAACAAAUUAGAGUGCUCAAAGCAGGCCGUUGGUCGCCUGAAUACUGUGUGCAUGGAAUAAUGGAAUAGGACCUCGGUUCCAUUUUGUUGGUUUUCGGGACUCGAGGUAAUGAUUAAUAGGGACGGACGGGGGCAUUCGUAUUGCGACGUUAGAGGUGAAAUUCUUGGAUCGUCGCAAGACGAACCGAUGCGAAAGCAUUUGCCAAGAACGUUUUCGUUGAUCAAGAACGAAAGUUAGAGGUUCGAAGGCGAUCAGAUACCGCCCUAGUUCUAACCAUAAACGAUGCCAGCUAGCCAUCCGCCGAAGUUCCUUCUAUGACUCGGCGGGCAGCUUCCGGGAAACCAAAGCUCUUGGGUUCCGGGGGAAGUAUGGUUGCAAAGCUCAAACUUAAAGGAAUUGACGG
rnacentral:rRNA from 1 species